CAUACUCAUUUUCCUGGCACUAUAUUGGCCUGAGGGUGCCCACACCCUCAGGGACCCCCUCCCGCCAGGCUCUGGGGAAAGGAAAGGGUUAAAUCAUACCUUUUUUACAGCGCCAGGCGGGGAGCUCUCCUCCUCCUCCGAUCCUCCUCUUCGGCUGAAUGCGCAUGCGCGGCAGGAGCUGCGCGCGCAUUCAGCCAGUCUCAUAGGAAAGCAUUCAUAAUGCUUUCAUAUGGACGCUGGCGUCUUCUCACUGUGAUUUUCACAGUGAGAAGCAAACAAACGCCUCUAGCGGCUGUCAAUGAGACAGCCACUAGAGGCUUUAGAGGCUGGAUUAACCCUAAUAUAAACAUAGCAGUUUCUAGGAAACUAUGUUUAUAAAAAAAAAGGGUUAAUCCUAGAGGGACC